GCCUACGGGGGGCAGCAGUGGGGAAUAUUGCACAAUGGGGGAAACCCUGAUGCAGCAACGCCGCGUGAGUGAAGAAGUAUUUCGGUAUGUAAAGCUCUAUCAGCAGGGAAGAAAAUGACGGUACCUGAGUAAGAAGCCCCGGCUAACUACGUGCCAGCAGCCGCGGUAAUACGUAGGGGGCAAGCGUUAUCCGGAUUUACUGGGUGUAAAGGGAGCGUAGACGGUGAUGCAAGUCUGAAGUGAAAGCCCGGGGCUCAACCCCGGGACUGCAUUGGAAACUACCGAACUAGAGUGUCGGAGAGGUA
rnacentral:rRNA from 1 species